rnacentral:rRNA from 1 species
GCCUGGUAUGAAUGGUUAGACGGAGAGUUGACUGUCUCUUCAAAAUUUUAAGAAUUUAAAUUCUAGGUUAAAAUGCCUAGAUAUUAUUGAAAGACGAGAAGACCCUAGCGAGCUUUAUUUUUAACGCUAGAAAUAAGUAGAUGUUUAAACUUUUGUUGGGGCGACUGAGGAGAUGGAGCUUCCUUUAUAAAAUGAAAAAUAAUGGUUAAGGAUCCAGUGUAAUUACUGAAAAACAGGGGAGCUACCGUAGGGAUAACAGCGUAAUCCUUUUAGAGAGUUCUUAUCGAAAAAAGUGUUUGCGACCUCGAUGUUGGACUAGGAUAUCCUAAAGGUGUAGAGGCUUUUAAGGGUUGGUCUGUUCGACCAAUAAAAUCCUACAUGAUCUGAGUUCAAACCGGA